rnacentral:lncRNA from 1 species
GGCUUCCUCGGGGCAUAAAGUUUGGACUCUAAUUCACUUUUCACUCUGGAUAGUUAAGAUUGAUUUGCCCCAGGGGCUUUGGGGAGGAUGGCUCUUGUGUCAACAUGGCAGGAUAGUACCCAGGCUGCAGGGUCACCUCUGAAGCCCCUCGGUUAUAAAUAGCUUCAAAACUGCCUUAACAGCUGGCAGUCGGCCAAUGGAGAGGAAAACAGAUUGAGGUGAGCUGCAGGAAGUAGAUCACGGUAGGAAGGAGGAGACCUAAGAGGAAAGAGUCAUAUGGAAAAAUAAACAAGGGCAUUUUAGGGUACCAGAAGAGAAAAGCAGUAUUUCCAUGUUGCUAUUUUAGUAUUAGGCUUCUCGACCAUUCCACUCUCUCUACCCCGUACCUGUCGAGGAAAGGAAGAGCCGGCGGGAGUCAGUGAGAAGGAAGAACUAAGGAUGAGUUUUGAAGAAGUCAAGAAUAACCUGUUUAUGUCAAUAAAGUGGCCAUAGCAAAUGUAUGCAUGGCAUUAAAUUACUUUUUUUUUCUUUUGUGAACUCAAACUUUAAAACAUUGAAGAUUCA